CAAGCAGGACACAAGACGCAUCCAUUAAGCCAGAAAUCUGGCAACAGCAACCAACAGAAAGAUCUAAAAAGGAAUAAAUAUUGAAACAGAAACAAUCUUUUAUACUGUUAAUGCCAGGUUCCGGGAAACUGGGAUCACCAAAUAAAAGCUGAGGGAUGAAACAAACAAACAAAAAAGCAUUGCAACCAGGAGCAGCUCCUUAAAUAUCACAGAUCUCUAGGUUGUUGGUCCUUUGUUAAGAAACUGAAUACAUGCCACUUUACAUCUGAGCGGCUAGGCAGGCAGCUCCCCCGGUACACAUGGCAGCACUGCUCUGCAGAUCAGCCCACAAUGAGAGUGCAAACAUGGAAUAACUGACACUCUUUCACAGGGCACUGUCUCAGCCCACCCUUAUAACUACCAACGUACAAUGAGGCAGAGGCUGGGCUCCUUAGUCCAUUUUUCAACUUCCAAUUGCAAGGUACUAGCAGUGUGCACGAAGUACCAAUUAGAAAGUGUUUAUUUUGAUUUUGAAUGCAGAAUCUAAAAGGAUGGGAAGGGAAGUAAUUCUGAUCCAGAAAUUCUCUUAUGAGAGGAGACAGACAGCAAGUGGACGUAUAAAUUGCUGAGGAUGGUUUCAGAUCAAUCUGUGAUUGACUGCCAACAACAUGGAGUUGAGGGGAGAUAAACAGCUGUAGUCAAAGACAGGUUAAAGCCACCUAGUAGGAUAUUUUGCUAGCAACGAUGUAGAACCAGAAGCAGCUGCGAAGUUAAACUUUCUGGCAAGCCUUUAGAUAAGAAAAAUAUGGAGGAAAGAAAACAGAAUGAACAUCAACAGGGAACCACAGUGCCUGUUAGAGUCACAGCAAAUAAGAAGUAAGAAGUCACUGUAGGAAAUCGUUUACAGCACUAACAGAGAACAACGAGUGGACCUAAAACAAAAAAAUCAUUUAUUUUAAUCUUCCAUUAAUCUGAAAUCUAAGUGCACAUUGUGUAAAAAAUUAAGUGGAAAGAGUAGGAUCAGUAUAAGGUAACAAGUACACUUAAUUGGCAUAGGAGCCAAAAAAAAAAAAAAAGCAGCAGCAGCUGAGGAGGAUGUGGAAUUCCCAACACAAUCGGUAUAAGAAAUACUGGCCAUGGUUGGAUUUUGUAAAUGAAAAAAUUCCAGGCCUCGUACUGUAACAAAAAGCUGUCAGAGCAUAUGGAGCACAUGGAAAAGCAGAGUGAGGGAAGCUCAAGAUUCUUUUUCUUUGAAAGUUAUCUCUGAACCAAACUGCAAACUAAGUGUUUGCUUGAGAAUAAUCAGGAAGGACCAGAUUUUGUCAUUCUUACCCACAUUGUGUAGUACCCUACUCUGCAAGUAGUCCCACUGAGACCAAUGUGACCAUUCGUGGAGUAAGGCAAAGAAGAAAGGGCUACUAAAGCCAAGGAGCAGGGAAGAGGACCAAGGAGUAACUGAAAAAUUGGAGGGAACAUCACUGAAGGAUGGCAGUGUGGCAAAGCUUCACAUAGUGCCAGCAUUAGAGUGGAGUUGUUUGGUUAUCUAGGGUCCUCUUCAACCUCCUCUUCCCUGGCUGAAUGCAACCCCUAACUUCAGCCAAGGGCAGCAAUUUAACUGGUGAUUUGCCUCUACUUCACAAUCAACAUAGAACAGGCAGAAGUCAUCGUCUGGCAUGAAAAGUUCUGGGUGGCUUGCAGUCAUCCAUAGAGAAAAGACCAGCCAGAAAAGUAAAUGAUCAUGUGGGGCUAUACAAUUCUGGGAGUCUGUCAUUCAGUUGGAGACAUUAGGAUGUUUGGGUCUCUCUAAGCAUACUCAGGGUUAGUAUAAAAAUACUUAUUGUAUGAUGCAGAAAACUGAAGUUGUGAUGGAGAAGACAGUAACUUGUUAGCAAUAUAAAAUCUUAGAGGAGAAGGUGGAGAAUACAAUUAAGAAUGCAAAAGUUUUUAUUUACAGUGGAUGGACAACGUAGAGAUGUGCUCUCAUGUGGCACCAACUGCAAAUAGUCUAUAUCUAGCCAUUAGAACAUGGCAACUUAGGUGUAAAUGACCUGAAUUUGGCCCAUAAGAUAAGACCACAGUUACAGAAACAGAGAAAUUGAGAAUAAUUAAAGGUUUUUAAUUAAAUUGAGCAUUUGAAGGGAAAAGACAAAAAGCAAAAAGAUAUGAUGUU